CGAUGCUACAUUGCAGACCCAGUGGCCAGAUACUGCCUCACGAAUAGCUGUCUCUAGCAUCCCAGAGAGUGGGUUUCUUUUAAACUUUCUUGUUCAACCCCCCAGUGACUUCUCUUCUUUGCCAUUCAGUUAGCCAUGCUGAUCCUGUCUAACGAGUUCAAGAUCUCAGUUUUAGGGGGCUUCUUCCAUGGGGCUCUAUCUUAGUCCCAGGACUAGUGGUUCCUCCUUGUAUUUGCUACCCCCGUGUUCUUUAGAGUUGUUUUUAUUUUUUUACUAUCCAAUUCCUUGUAAUUCCAAAUCACUGUUUAUUUUGUAGUUCUUCAUAUUAAACUUAACUUGCUCAAAUUACCACAAGGUUUCUCUGUCCUGACUGGAACCUGACUUAUAUAGGAUGAUAACACAAUAGAUAAUGGAAAAGAAUGAACCUCCCAGGGACUAAGACCAGUGGCCACGAGAGCAGUGGACAAACAAGUUCUUUCUAGAGAUUCCAGAGAUCAGAAUUGGAGCCUAAGCAAGGAAUUUACUUUAUCGCCUGGGAAGGAAGCCUUCUCAGUUCCUGCCAAACAGAGUAUCAUAGUGGUUGCUAUGUUUCCCAUUUUUCAUUUUCAGAAUGGUGUUUUUUGGUUGUUUUGUUUGUUUGUUUUUGUCUUUUUAGGGCCGCAUGCACAGCACAUGGAAAUUUCCAGGCCAGGGAUCAAAUCAGAGCUACAGCUGCCGGCCACAGCAACCCCAGAUCUGAGCCACAUCUGCGACCUACACCACAGUUCACGGCAACGCCAUAUCUUUAACCCACUGAGCAAGGCCAUCGAUCAAACCUGUGUCCUCAUUGAUCCUGGCCAGAUUGAUUACCACUGAGCCAUAGUGGGAACUCUGAGAAUGGUGGGUUUUAUGGCAGCUCUUUAUCUUGUAUUGAAAUGUAUGGGAGUGUAAGUAACUUGGCUGUUAUAUAAUGAAUUGCUAGUCCUUGAAGGUCCACUCCAGAUCAGCUGGAGAGAGAUAAACAUCACUAGGUGAUCCUAGCUGUUGAACUGGGAACAAUAACUAGAUGAACUUUCAGUCGCAUUCUUUGGGGAGGCCCUGUGUUUUCGUGUGGGAAGACUGGUGCGCGUGGGUAUGUGUGGGCUAGAGGCUAAAGGCAGGAACAUCUGUUUUGUUUGUUUGUUUGUUUAAUAUUCUUUACCCAUUUUUCCUUUAAUAAAACUCCUUAAGUUUUUGGUGAGUACUUGCCCAGCUAGAGACUGUAUUUGCCCAUUCUCCUUUGUAGAUGUGUACAGAUGGGUGGGUUCUCGACAGGAAUGUGGGAAGAGGUGAGGUGUGCUCUUAAGACAUUUAGGGGUCUGUCCCACUCUCUCUUUCCCUUGGUCUUGAGUCAACACAGUGCUGGUGAGCCAGCUUCGAAUAUGUAGUCGAGGGGAAACUUGGGGGUUUCAAAGGACCCCCCAUAGAAGACCUGAGUUCCUGAAUGUCUUUAAGAAGCAGGGUCUCCUGGUUACCUUAGGACUGAUACGUGAGAGAAACAUGACAAUUUGUUGUUGUUGCUGUGAGCUAAUGUACUCUCGGCCUCUCUGUUGCAUCCACUUAGCCUCUUCCCCAACUAACGGUCUUCUUUCUCCUACUCCUUUCCUUCUUUCUGACAUGGAACUUUUGCAGUCUGCCCCUCCCAGUUUCUGAGAAGAGAAGGGUUUGCUGCAAUCUUUGGCUUCAUCUCAUUACUCUUUACUGUCACUGCCUGCAGGCAGAGCCGUAAUGUAAAUGUAAAACUGUGUUCAGCACAAGUUCCCUUGAGUAUAUAAUUAUAACGCAUUCCGGGGUGCACCUAAAUAAGACGACUCUGUUUCUCCAACCUGAGAUCGCUUUUAGUGUCAGUCACACAGUAGGAUAUAGACAGAGGCAGUAGCUGUAGUAACUAACACUAAAUGAGGCAGACCACAAUAUAAAAUAUUACCCGUUUUCAUUGCUGAUGAUCUGGGGAAGAUUCAGAUAACUUGGAGGCCUUAGGGGUGGGAUGGGGGAAUCCUAAUUCAUCUUGGAAGUGUGCAAAAGUACUUCAUAAUGAAGUGAUAUUUUUGUUUCUCUUCAAAAGCACUAAGUGACUUGGUUCUAUUUUUAGCAUAAAAUGAUGAAAACAAUAUUAUCAUGUUUUCUAUCAUCAAAUCACAGAUACUGACCAAAGUGUAGAUAUUGGAUUCAGUUAUAUAAUUUAUAACAGCUACUGUAUUUAUAUACAUAUGAAGAUCAUUUAAUAUAUAAAUACACUAAAAUAUAUUUUAAAAGUAUAUGCAUAUUUAUAUACCACCAAAACCUUUAAAACAUACACACAAAAGCAGUCGUUGUAAUAGUGCUUUACCAUUGAUGGCCAACUCUUUCAGUGACUAAAUUAUAACAUACUUAUUUAAAAAAAAAACAUGCUUAUUUCAAAACUCAAACUCUUAUUUGAAGCAAAUCUUCAUAAAUCAAUUAUUUAUUUCAUGAUUAAAUAAACAGGUUAUUCUUAUUGGAUUUUGACACAUAUCUCAGGACUCAGGUUUGAAUCUAGAACCUUUACAUAGGAGAAGUUAUUUUUGUGAAUCAUUCGGAAAAAAUAUUCAAGUAAUUAAAAAUAAAUGCCUUCAUUUUCUAAAAUAAAUGAACUUAAUUGCCAAUACUAAUUUAACGCCUUUGAAAAUAAAGUUUUGAAGAAGUAAAGGGAUGUAACUAAUUUCAGCGCUGAAAAUCAAAUAGAAGUAAAAAGUUUAGAAACAAUGCAGUAUUUCCCAAAUUUUAAUCACUGACCCACCUUCACAAUUUUUGGCAUAGCCGUAACACUUAAAAUAAUAUUUAUCAAAUCAUUUUUUAAUCAUAAUUCAUUCAUUUUUCUUAAAUAUUUUUAAUUUGAAAAAUCAGCAUCAGAGUUUUACUUUCUGUAAGUAUUGUGCUCAGCACAUAAUAUUGAUUUCUACAUACUUAAAAUACUUUUGGGUGUUCUGUCUAAAGUCAUCUCACAUGGCCCACAUAUCACAUUUUGGUCGAUGAUUGAUAUAAUGCUGAAGUAUAUAACUUUUUAGUAUUUAGGGCAUAAGUAAAAUAUGCUAGACUUAAAAUUUCAUUGUGGUGAAAGUGUAUCCAUGCCCUAAUUAAGCAGCAUUAGUGUUAUUAAUAUGAAAUAAUAAUUAUUCCAUCACUUUAAGAUACUCAAACUGUUGAGCAAGCCAGUGAGACUUAGAGCACAUUUUAUAGAGAAGUAGACAACGGUGUUAUUAAUAAGGGUAACUUCACUCUAAUUGAGCUGCUCCAGCUUUGUGUUCACCAUAGUUAAAGAGAUAAGGUGCCAGUGAAUUAUAUCUCUAAGAUUAAAUAUGUUCAGUAGCAAUUAUGCUAUGAAAAGAAACUUUUUUAUGAAGAGCUUAACAGAAAUGUUUCAUUUGCCUAAAACAAUUGAAUAAUAUGCUUUAUAAUUAUCUUUGAGGUAAGAAAAUAAUAGCACAGCACUGAACAAUAUUUUAGGUUUUUGUGAUUGUAUUUAUGCAUAUCUGUAAAUUGCCAAUUUGCAGGCAAGAACUCUCAAAAAUUCAAAUUAUGUUUUUUAGGUAAUAAAGUGGUAAGAAAGAUUACUCUACAAAUGCAACACACCAUUUUCAUUGACUAUGACACAUCCAUCUGAAGAGCAGUGCAUUUGGAUUUGGAGACAACAUAUUUAUGAUAGGGGUUUUCUGUCACCUAAUGUCUUGGAUUACCAUGUACUUACAAAUGUGAUUAUGGACCAAAAUGCUGGAUGCAGUCAAGCUUCAACUCCAUUUAAUUCUUGGAAUUUUGCCCAGAUAAAUGUGCUUGGUAAGCUGUGACACCAUACAUGCUUUAGAAUGACUACAGCUGAGUAAUGAAGCUUCAGUACUCCGUAAAAUCACCCCAGUUGUGCAGAGUACAGCGGAGAGCCCUGGCAUAACCACGUAGAGUAAGCCCGUGUUGUUCCAUCCACCCCGUGCUUUCUCAGUGGGCUGAAAUCCAUCUGGUCAGGCCCGCUUUGGAGGUAUAUUCUUUUCUAUUGCUGUGUAACAGAUUCCUACAAUUUAGCAGCACCUAAUUUAUUAGGUCACAGUUGUAUAGGUUAGAAGUCCAGCACAGCAUGGCUGGGUUCUACUCAGGCUAAAUCAGGGCAUCAGGCAGCCACUCUCACGUGGAGUUCGGGUCCUUUUCCUAGUUCAUACUUAUUAUUGGCAGAAUACACCUCUUUGCUGUUGUAAAACUGAGGUUUCUCUUUCCUUGCUGGCUGUCAGUUGGAAACAGCUCUAAACUCUUAGAGGCUGGUCCCCAUUCCUUGCCGCGAGGUCCUCUCCAUCUGCUGCCUCAGCAGAGGAGAAUGACCCUUUGAAUUUCUCCAACUUCCUCUUUCGUGAGCAUCCAGAGGAGAAACUCCUGUUUUAAAGAAAGUUAAAGAAGUUUCUGUUUAAAACUUCUGUGUUGUGAUUAGGUCAGACCCUCCAAGAUAAUCUCCCCAUCUCAAAGGUUAAUUGUUCAUAUAAUCACAGCCAUGAAACAUACUCACUUCAGUCCUGGGGACUGGGCAGGCUGUGUACACCAGGGACAGGGAAUAUUAGGGAAUAUUUUAGAAUACUGCCUGCCUUUGAGGCUUUUGUCACUUUUACUCUCAGCUUUACAGAUUUCUUGGAUUUCAGCCCUACACCCAAGCCUUUUUUUUUUUUCUCAAAAGAAACUCAGAAAAACUCAAAUUGUCACGAAAUUAGUCUACAUAUAAUAAAAUAAACAUAAAAGAAGUGUAUUUCUGGGCUUGCAAAUGUGUUUCAAAAUGUCACCAAAUAAGCUUAGAUGCUAUUCAUCAUUCUCAUUGCAAAUGUAGCUUUGACUAAACCAUCACCUUAUGGUGAAGGACUUUUGUGACAGUAUAGUAGCUGACAAUGUGGUUUAAUAAUGGCAUUCUGUUACUUCCAAUAUGAUUUCUUUCUAACCAGUGCCAAGCCUAUUUGCAAAUGUGGGCAAAUAACAGGUUUAUUUUGAUACUAAUUUAUUUGUUUAUGAUAUAUUUUUUCCCCCUACACAAGAGUAUUUUUUUAGGAUCUAAGAGAUUUGUAGGCAAGUAGUGAAAAAAUAAUUAUUGGUGAUUUUUUCAUGUCCACCUAUUCUGAAAUGCCUUAUCUCACUCACCAUGUCUAAUUAUUAAUUGGAUUCUUGUAGUAGCUAAUUCUCAACCAAAAGUUUUGAUUUACCAGUGCAUAGGUGAAAAAUUAUUUAUUAAGACACAAAUGUCUGAUUUGGAGGUGCUCAAUAAAACACUAAAAUUUAUUGCUAAAUAUCAAAUUGCUAGUCUUGAAUCAAGGUAAA
rnacentral:lncRNA from 1 species